GAUGAAGAACGUAGCGAAAUGCGAAAAGUAAUGUGAAUUGCAGAAUUCAGUGAAUCAUCGAAUCUUUGAACGCACAUUGCGCCCGUCAGUAUUCUGGCGGGCAUGCCUGUUCGAGCGUCAUUACGCCCCUCAAGUCCCCUGUGGACUUGGUGUUGGGGAUCGGCGAGGCUGGUUUUCCAGCACAGCCGUCCCUUAAAUUAAUUGGCGGUCUCGCCGUGGCCCUCCUCUGCGCAGUAGUAAAACACUCGCAACAGGAGCCCGGCGCGGUCCACUGCCGUAAAACCCCCCAACUUUUUAUAGUUGACCUCGAAUCAGGUAGGACUACCCGCUGAACUUAAGCAUAUCAAUAAGCGGAGGA
rnacentral:misc_RNA from 1 species